GGAAAGGAAAAAAUUGUUUUCACCUGCCUUUGGACACUCUUGAUUCAACUGACGCUUUUUAUCAAUGCAAAUUGAAAGCAUGUGUAAUUUCUGGUGAAUUAAACAUGUAGAUAGGUCGACUACACCAUUGGCUUGCAUUCUAGGUAAUGGCUGUGACUCUUCCCAACACCAGCGAACUUCUCGUACAAACUCUAUCCAGAAUGCCGCAAUAGCCCUUAUAUUGCAAUCACCAAACCAGAGAGAAUGCAGACAGAACUGGCCAAAAAGUGAUUCAAG
rnacentral:misc_RNA from 1 species